AUUGAACGCUGGCGGCAUGCCUUACACAUGCAAGUCGAACGGCAGCACGGGAGCAAUCCUGGUGGCGAGUGGCGAACGGGUGAGUAAUAUAUCGGAACGUGCCCAGUCGUGGGGGGAUAACGUAGCGAAAGCUACGCUAAUACCGCAUACGAUCUAUGGAUGAAAGCGGGGGAUCGCAAGACCUCGCGCGAUUGGAGCGGCCGAUAUCAGACUAGGUAGUUGGUGGGGUAAAAGCCUACCAAGCCUUCGAUCUGUAGCUGGUCUGAGAGGACGACCAGCCACACUGGAACUGAGACACGGUCCAGACUCCUACGGGAGGCAGCAGUGGGGAAUUUUGGACAAUGGGCGCAAGCCUGAUCCAGCAAUGCCGCGUGCAGGAUGAAGGCCUUC
rnacentral:rRNA from 1 species